GCCGUGCUGGCGGUACCCCGGGAGCAGGGCCUAGCGCUGGGCCUGAGCCCCCUGCGGGGCCGGGUGCACCCCGAGGAGAACGGCUGUCCUCUCUGCUACUGCUGCCCCUCACCAGACAUUCCCAGCCCUUACCCUGUUUCCCGCGUUCUCUGCUCAGCAAAGAACAGCCCCUACUCCCAAUCACUGAGGCUGAUAACAAGACUGGAAACUGGCAGGAAUGCCUUGGGAAAGAACAGGGAGCUGCUAGAGUAUUACCAGAAGGUUUCUGAAGAUAAAGCAAAUGUUGUUGGACACGGCUUUGAAGGGACUGCCAUGCUUUAAAAAAUGUGGGAAAACAACAACAAAACAAGGGAAGGAGAACUACCAACUUGUGCUUGUGUUCCUGCCUCCAACCUGGUCUUAAGAGACAAACAGCCUUACAUAUUUCCACACUGCCUCCUAGAUUCCCCUCUUUCUUCCUCCCCACUGGUCUCCACUUGCCAUUCGUCUCAUCUCAGCCUCUCCUACUUUACCCCAGCCCCCUUUCAUGACUCCCACCCAAGCUACUCCUCAAGCCUUUUGACUUAAAUUUCUUAUUUGAGUUUCCUAACACUUAUAUACAGCUCUCUACCAUAGUAUUUGAGAUCCAGUUGUUCCCUGCCUACCCUCUCCCCACACUCAGAUGGGUGCACAUGAGCAUCUGUCCUUAUCUCCCUGAGACACCUGGCUGUAGAUGAUCCUUGCCAGCAGAGCCCUUGCCUUGCCAGAUCUCCCAACAAAGCCCCUCCUCUGGCAUGACUUUUAAAAACCUGUAUGUGGGCUGUGCUUAAAUAAGAUCCACCCAGAGAGGAGAAACUGCUGGUAUGUUUAAGAAAAACUCGCCCUGGGAUAUUGCUAACCAAGCAAUGCCCACUUCUAGAUAAAAUGCAGAAUGUGGAAUUUUCAAAGGUACUGAGUUUUUCAUAGUGAGGGCUGCCAAACAGCUGUGCAAAACUUAAAAAAAAAAAAAAAGGAAAAGAGGAAAGUGGUGUUUGUAUGUACAUGCAAUGCCCAUGAUGAGUUGUACCUGCCCUGUAUAGCACAUAAACAAGUAGCAGAUAUAUGAGAUUUAGCAAAGCUUGAACUGCAGGUCCUCAAUCGUAUGCAGCAAGUGUGCUCCAAGGGGAAGUCAUUCUGCUCCAGACAGUGGAGCAAUAUUGGGCGCAGUGUUUGGGACAAACAUCCCAAGUGCCAAGGGGAAGGGGGUGAGUGGUGAGAUAUACCAGCAGUUGGGCUUGUUGAAUACUGCUGAACUAGGAGAUGAGCUGACCCACCAUGUAUUUUGAGGACAUUCCCAGGACACUACGUUGCCUCCAGGAAAUAAAAGCGCUUUUACAGCUCCUCUGGGAGACAGUGGCUUGGGAGAGGAGACCCCUGGCCUGCUGCCAAGCACCGUCUGGCAAAGGGCAUCCAAUGAGAUCAUGAGGGCUAAUUCGGCUGCAUGAUGAACUAUUUCGGCUGCCCGCCUCACUGCAGGCUCAAAGCACGCUCUGAGAGAGUUUUAUUCAAGAAAGGGUUUUAUUUCCAACAACGCAACCCCCGCCGUUCGCUGACGGGGAGCGACAUGGCGGCGGCUCGCAAGGCCCGCUGGGAGCUGUAGUCCGGCGCGGGCCGGGGCCGCUCCCGCGUUCCGCAGGGAAGGGGGAUCAAGGUCUCCCAAAGAGGAGGAUUUCCUGCCUCGUCCCUUCCCGCGCAGCGCUCUGGGGAACACCGAGGAUUAGGCUGUCCGGGUAAGAAGGGUACCCGCGCUGGCAGGCGGACCGGUGCCUGCCCACCGUCUGUUCUGUCCAGAGCUUUCACUGCCCCGGUGCGCGUAACCCCAGUUUUCCCCUGUCUGCUGUUACCAGGCAUCUACUUAUACACCUGCAGCCCAAAAAGAAAGGUGACAGCACCCUAAAGACAUACCCAGUUAGUCCGGCAAGAUGUAAUAUGCAUACUGGGUUGGUUGCCGUUGCUUGCCCCCGCACUGAUUUCCAUGAUUUUGGCUGGGGUCAGUGUUGGGGUGGCAGGUGUGUAUUUACCUGGGCCACCUGAGCUGCUCCGGUGCUCAGCCCGCACACGCUGCAGGGGGAGGCACGUCAGCUGAGGGCAGCAGAGACAAGUGCUGCUUUUAUGAACUACAGUGUUAUUCUACUUCUAAAUCCUGGUGAAACUUCAACUUAUACGUGAGAGAGUAAGAGACUUUAAGUUAUACUUAAAUAAUCUACAUUUUUUUUUUAAUCCCUGCAAUUAGUUUUUCUUUAAAAUCCCUCCUUCAUUCUUUCAGGAUGGAAAAGGUGAGCAGAAACUUUUCAGCAUUCUGAGGGUAUUUUGGCUUUAAGAGGCUCUCAUCACAUUGCCCAGAUUGGAAUCCCUUAAAAGUGUAUAACUUGCUUCCUAAACUUUUAUUCAACAGCCAUCAUCUGAACGUUCUCAUGUAUGCUUUGCUUGUUAGGAAACAAAAUUAUUUGUUUUGGCGUUGAUCAGGGCAAGAUGAUACACUAUUUCGGGCAGAGUGACAUUCUUCUUUUUUCCCACUCAUUUUUCACAAGUAAUUAUAACCAGUAGUUUUGAUAUUAGGAUCAUGGAAAUUUUCCCAUUAAUAUUAUGGGACACUCAGAGGAAGCAGAGGACAUCUACAGUGAGCGGAGGAGGAGGCAGUUAGAAUCCAAGCACAGCUCAUGAGAAAGAGACAAUAAUUGUUCAAAGAAUAUUGUACUGCAUAACAAUCCUGCUGGAUUGCAGCACAGAGAACACAACUUCCAUGUGUGUGGCUGCACAUUUAAUGAGGCAAUAACCCAGUUGUUCUCUUUCUGAAGUUAAUAAAGAAUAGCCUGAAAACCAACAUAAUGCUAUCCUUGAUUUUUUGAGGUGAUCCUCAAAAAGCUCAAAGCUCCUUUAAUACAGAGAACAUACUUCUUCAGUAUCUUUGAACUAUAUAUAGAGUUAUAUAGAAAUAAUAAACUAUUUGCUUAAUU